ensembl:lncRNA
CUGAAUUUUAUGUCAGGUUUUAUUAGUAUGCUUUAGAAUCUAGAUUUUAUUUCUUGAAAGGACAGUCUAGAAAUUCCUCUACACCUAAGCUGAUUUUCUUUCUUUUGGACAGCAUGAUGUGUUGUGUAACAUGUUAAAACAGUUGUUUUCUAGUGUAUUUUCCAAUAUGAAGAUGGAAAUAUGAAUAUGACAUCAUAAAAAUGUAGACCUUGAGGAGUGGAUGAAGUGUCUAGAUUUCAUCCCCAGAAUAUAGGACGUAAUUACAUAUAUCUAAUUACGUAUAUCUACAGUAUCUUGUUACUGACAAAUAUGUUUUAGAGACCUCCUAACAGUAAAAUAAUUCUAUUAAAUUUCUUUUUUAUAAAGAUCUCAUUGAUCUUUUAUUCAACAAAUAUUUUGUGCCUACUCUUUGCCAAGUUACGUGCUAGACUGAGCACAGAGAAAUACAGAGGCCCCUUUCAAGUUGCUGUCAGUCUAAUAGAAUAAGAUAAAUAUGAACAUAAAUCAUUACAUAUAACAGCUAAAGGAACUGUGAACUAAAUGCAAUAGUAAAACAAACAGUGAAUUCGUCAACUCUGAUAGAGUUAAUCCAGAAAAUGCUUCAUAGAGGAAGAGAUGCUUACACUAGGUUUUGAAUGAUCAGUAGUUCUUAAGGUGGGAAAAAAGGCAUUAUUUUAGGAAAACUAGCAGGAUCUGAAGAGCAAAUCUGCCUGAAAUUAACAUGGAGUAUGGGGAAAUUCUAAGUUUUUAUGGUUAGGGCAAAGGUUAUAUGUAGAUGUUUGGCUAGAGAAGAUAUUGAAGAAAUAAACCAAGGCCAAACAGUGAGAACUACUAUCAUGAGCUUGGACUUUUAUCCUUUUUGGUGACUUUGGAAAAUAGAGACAUCAAAGGAUUUUACUAUGAGAAUUGCAGGAUAAGAUUGGCAUUUUAGAUUUUUUUCCUAGCAAAUUAGAGAAAAUAUUGUGAAGGUAGGUCUGAAUGGGAAGUUAGAAGACCAAAUAUAAACAUUUUUAAACAUCCAGGAGAGAGAAAGAAGUAAGGCAGCUGAUGACUAGACGGCAGAAAAGGAAGAGAUGGCAAAGAAGGAGACGCAACUGAACCGAGAAUCCAGACCCCUUGUGUCAACAUGACUUAACCAUUUAUUCCAGGAAGUUCUUUACCAGGAAGGGAAUGCUGCAGACCAAGCAUUACUUUCAUUUUUGCCCAUUUGCAUCAGGAAGUCCUUACACACAAACUUAUUUGAGCAGUUUGCUCAUCUGGGCGAACAGAACUCCCAUUAAGAUAGCAUUUUGCUCACCUGGACAAACAUCCUGCUGCUCCGGUACCAGUUUGCUUUCAAACACUCCUCAGAAUUCUUGCCAUAUCGAGUCCGUCCAUCCUGAAGUAUUACAUCAUGAAUUUGGCCCGGUUCCAGUCAAUUCCCCAUCUUGAAGAGCCCACCUAACACCACUUGAACCUAGACUCCAGAAGCGGGGCGUGAGUGGCAGAGCAGAGACGGGCUGCCUUGUGGCCAGGGCAACUGCGCCGCCGCUAGGAUGGCAGAACUCUUCAGGAAGAGGGCUUGGCUGCCCCCUCAUCUCUGGCCCAGCGAGCACCAGAUCAGUCCCAUUACAGGCACCCAGAGGCCACUGGCCUGCUGGCCGCUCUUCAAGGGACAGUGGCCUUUCCCAGGAAGGAGUGGGAAGAAAGCCAGCCUGUCUGCUCGAGAGCCAAGUCUGUCAUCCCUACUCAGAAGGCAUAGGCAGAGCCAUCAGCCUUGGAGGCAACAGGGGCAUCUAUCCAAACCCCACCUGGAACAGGCUGGGGGUGCUCAGGGGCUCCAGGAGGGGCGGGGCUCCAGGCCGUCAGAAGCCGUGCCCGGGCUGAGGGCCAACGUGCACAGGCAGGCUGUGCUCCAGGGGCAGAUGGAUGGGGGCAAAGUUCUACUUGUCUUGCGCGUUGGGCAGAAGGGGCAUGUGGGGGUGGAAGGGAAGGACAAAAACUUACUGGGGGAUCUGCAGCUGUGCAGGCUCUGCAGGACGGGCCUCAGGCAGGCUUUGACCCUCUGGACUUUCUCUGGAGGCUUCUCCAAGGGGCCCAAAGCAUUUGAAGGUGUUCUCUGAAAAGGAGAUGGGAUUUAGUAGAGAAACAGCUAAAGCCAACCAUGCUUGGAUCUGGUUUGGGACCAGGGCUCCAUAUCCUGACCAUGGUCCCACCUGCCCGAGCUGGGGGCCUGAGAGCCUGGAGCACGAGGCAAGGCCAGGAACCUCUAACCUUCAGCAUCAUUCUUACCUGUGGACACAGGAGGUGUGGUCAGGCCACAACAAGGCCGAUUAAAGCACAAAACGCAGCACACACAGACAGCAACCAUCACCAAGGACAAAAUCAUACUUCUGAGUGAAUACUACAGUCUACAGUGAUCACCUUGGAAGGCAGCGUGUUAACCAGCUCAGAACAGGUGGAGCUUCUGUGAGACACUUUCCUUCAGAGCCAGGGCCCGGAGGGCCACUCACAGAAACUCCGUUUCACUCCCUGUAACCUCAGAAGGGUCAGGGUGGCUCCCCAUCUUUUCAGUCUGGUUUGGCUUCUACUUGCUUCCCAAGCUCAAACCCACCCCUUGAGACCGCCUUGCCAUCAAGGAGAUGCUGAAGCUGUAUCUAAGCUUUUCUGGCCUUUCCCACAGGAAGCUGGACACACAGGUAGAGUAUGUCUGUGGCCACCUGAGGGAUAGCACUUCCUGGGUUGUCCCUGGCUGGCUGGAGAGCCAGGACCUCCAGGGAGGGCCAGCAGUGGGGUCCCCUCCUCCCCUGAGCACAUGGAGUUCACAGGCCUGUGCUAGGGGAGCACUUGCCUCUAUUCUUUCUUUUCUGUUCCUCUUCAGCCUCCUUCUGGAUUUCCUCAAUUGGCCUCUCAUCAUCUUCCUAGAAGAAGAGCAAUAAGACAAUGAGCUUCUUUCAACCAGCUCCAUGUGGUGCCAAGAUGCCCCGGGACACAGAGGAGGCUGGCUUGCUGCUGGCCAGCACACCAUCACUCCCAGUUCCCUCAGACUCUUCCUCCUCCAUCACUGGAUGGUGUUCCCAUGAGGAUCCAUCUGAGAGGCUGGGACAGAGGUGCAGGUUCUGUGCAUGGCGGGUGGCCAUCCAGGGGCUGGGCCGAGAGCCUGUGUUGUUCACUCUGCUGUAGGGGAAGCAGAAGAAGGGGCAGACUGACAACCCAAGGGCUUGGGCAGGGCGUGAGUCUGCGGCGGGCAGGGCCUGAGGAGUUUCAGAUUCUGAGUCUACAAACUCUAAGCACAGCAGCCCUUUUGUGCAGAGUCCAGCAGGGUCUUGCUGACUCCCUGAACUGAGCUGGACAAAUGUUCCCUUGGGGCUGCUGGGCCCCGAGGCUGGUCUGUAGCUCCUGGACAGCCAGUGGGCUGUGGACGCAGAAGAUCCUGCCAGCACAACAGUGGCCUCACCCAGGUCUCGGGGACAGGAGGAAGGGCACAGGAAUUUAACAACAAGCCCCUACAGACCUUGCUGUCUCCCCUCCCCCAACUCAAUACUUGGUAGGCCUGAGACACUUAUUGGCAAUUCAAAUUUGGAUGGUCUCAGCCUGGGGACAGGAGCCAGAGAAGUGCUCUGGGCACAGGCAGCUGUGUGGGCUUCACCAGGGAAGCUCUGGGGGCCACGCUGGGCAAGCAGGCGGCAGGGUCUGUGACACAUGGAGCUCCCACAUCUCCACCUGCCCCAGUAACCGUGGUGGGGGGACUGGGCUGCUGGCCUGGGACAGACCACCCCAACUGUGGCUGCUUCGUGUAAUGUGCUAGAGCUUGACCCUCUCCUCAGAGGCCCUGCCUGCAAAGGGGCUUCCCAGUUUAUCUGGGGACUGCAAGACACUCACCAGAUGGAAAACACCCACCAGGAUGGUGUACAUCUCUGAUGCUGCACAGAGCAGCUGACCACCUGCUGACCAGCAUGGCGGUGAAGGCCUGUGGGACAAGAGUCCACCUGCAGGGCUGAGGCUCAGUGAGGAGCAGAGUGGGGCACUGCAACCAAAACCUGACCGCAUCAACUGCACUGAUUCUAACCAAGUGACAGCCAGGCUUGGUCUGUUUCCUGGGGUCUUCUGGGUGCUUCUCCAGGAGUGAGGAGCAGCCAGGCUGGGAAGCAGUGUGGAGAUGGCAGGAGGGCACAAGCAGGCUUCAAUGCUGCAAGAAGCCUGCUGGACACACGCAUUUCCCCAGAUGAGGCAUCAGAGCCGACCCACGUGGCCAGGGGGGUUCUGGGCUGCAGCAAUAUCAGAGAUAACUCUGGAUAUUUCAUGCUGCUCUGAGGCUCUGACUGGCUGGUGACAUCCACGGAACUUGUGAGAUGUGGAUGGAGGGCCACAGAGGGGAGAACAUGAGCUGGAAGGAAUGCCUGGAAAUCCUCAGACCAGAGGACAGUGUGGCAUCCCCAUCGUGGGGCUGAGCAAUGGAGAGUUUGCAUAUUUAUUUAGCAUGUUAUUAAUGUCACAGCCAAGAUAAUAAUGACUUCACUACACAGUUAUAAACCCUCAAUGAUUCUGGGGUCAUGGAUUUCAUCCAGUCAGUGAGUAUCGGACACCUAUUCUGUGCUACACACUGUUCUAAGUUCACUGGUUAAACUUUUGAUCAGCAAUAAAACUAGAAGUCACACUGAUGGAAUGAGUAAAUAGCUAUGUGACAUAUUCCCUUUAUUUGGUGGAUGAAAAAAUUUUAGGACUGGAGACUGUGGGCUCCAUAGCAACAGCAGGAGACCCUAUUAAAUUUGCUUACAUUCUCCAGGCCUCAGAUGCCAAAUGACAGUCCUGACUCAAUCAUCUCAAGGCUUCCUUCCAACUCUGACAUUUGGAAAUUUUUAUCAUACACGCAAGUCUUUUUAAGCCUCACUUGGCUAGGUGUUCUGAGCAAUGCAAGGGGAAGAGGAGAUGGGACAAGGGUUAAGUUCCCAUCAGAGAAUCACACACCUGGGAGGAAUCCUGGUGGGCAUGAUGUUCAAAUCCCAGGUAAUGUGUACAAAUUCUCUAUAAAAACCCCAAGAUGUGGUCAUCUAGCCUCUUUGCAAACACUCCAAAUGAGAGAACUCAUUACUCUAUGAAGUGAUCACUAAGCCAAUCAACACAAAGGGCCCCAAUAAGUCAACAGGGUUUGGUGGACACAGUCUGAAGUCUCCACGUGACUGUCAAGAUAAAUUCUACCAAUUACCUAGAGUAGGAGCUGGCAAACCUCUUCAUUUUGGUGCCAGUGGGAGACUUAGGAAAAAAGCUUUUUAAAAAAGGAAAGUGAUCAAGAAAACUGGAAAGUGGGAGAGCAGUGGCUCUACACCACUCACUGUGACCCAGGGCAAGCCCUUGAACAUCUGCGUCUCAGUACCCAUCUGUAAAAUGGGUUGUUGUAAGGACUGAAUGAGCUGACGUGUGCAAAGGACUCAGCACACAGUAAGCACUCAUGACUAAAGCAGGAAAGUCAUGAAAAAUGGCAGAGACAAAGAUUUUAGAAAGAUUACAAGUUUCAAGAAAAAGCAGUAUUGAUUGGCAGAUUUUACCAACAUUUCUCUCAGUGGCUUCUUUACGGUAUGAGGGACAGGAUUCCUGACUCUGGCCAUUUAUUAAUUAUAAAUACAUCACCACCACCUCCAUUGCCGCCACCACCACCACCUCCACCACCAUCUUCACCAUCACUGCUAUCACCACCAUCACCUUCAUAUUUAGCUUGACAUAAAUAAAGAUGGUUUCAUAUGGAAAUAUUUAGAUACAUGAGUAUAUACAUGGCUCUCCUUGCUCUUUCAGCUGAAAGGGCCUAGAAGCAACAAUACUCUAGUAGCAACAAGCACACCAAGUGCCCAGAUACUGGUUUCUAAUACUAUUCCCCACUAGAACAAACCAGAGCUCCUUGGAGAAAUGGAGGAUUUGAGGACUGGGACAGGAAAUAUACAAGAUGAUCCUGGAGCAUCAUGUAGAGAAAGUAAGUGCUAAAAACAAAACCAAAAAAUAAUAAGGGAGUAUAUCAAAUUUCUGGAAACAGGACCCAACUGAAAGAGCUCCCAAUGUUCAAAGCUAGAAAGAUUUGAGCGAUAACAUAAAUAAAGCAGUAUUGAAUUUUAACCUAAAGCAUAAAAUAAAUACCCACGAGUCCAUAUUGAUGCAAACAAAUGAUUGGGUAAAUUAAUAAAUUGGGGAGAAGAGAGAAAUCUCCCAUUCAGAAGAAUUUCAAAUCAUUGAAGUAAAUACUUCACCCUUAGCAGGACAGAGUAUAACUCCUCAUUCCUUAAGUGUGGGCUGCACAUAGGGAUUCUGCCCACAUAGCGGAGUGUGGGAAGGUGAGGGAAAAGAGGACGCUGACAGCAGAGACCUGCUGAGCACUGCCUCAGGCCAACUGUCAAGCUCGGCUCACCAUGUCACACAGAUCGUUUCCUUGAUGUGAGGUGCUGAGAAUGACAAUUUAUGUCACUGGUCUUCCUCUUGAAAACCUAUAACUCAGUCUAAUCAUGACAAAAACAUUAGACAUGCCAAUAGAGGGACAUUCAGUAAAAUAUCUCACCAGUACUUUUCAAAACUGUCAAGGUCACCAAAAACACGGAAAGUCUGAGAAACUGUCAAAACUAAGAGGAGUCUAAGGAGACAUGAAGACUAAAUGUCAUGUAGUGUCUUUGUUGCAAUCUUGGGACAGAAAAAGACAUUAGGAGAAAACAGAACAUUUGAGUAAAGUGUGAACUUGAUAACAAUUUAUCAACAUUGGUUCAUGAAUUGUGAUGAAUGAGCCAUACUAUCCUAAAGUGUUGACAAUACGGGAACCUGGGUGUGGAG